AGAAUGAACGUUGGCGGCGUGGAUUAGGCAUGCAAGUCGAACGGGCCGCAAGGCCAGUGGCGCAAGGGUGAGUAAGGCGAUGGUAACCAACCCCGCGAUCGGGCAUAGCCGCGGGAAACCGCGGGUAAUUCCCGGCGACGUCCGGGGGGGGCAUCCCCCCGGGACCAAAGUUGCGGCGUCGCGGGACGGGCCGUCGUGGUAUUAGCUUGUUGGCGGGGUAACGGCCCACCAAGGCCCUGAUGCCUACCGGGCGUGCGAGCGUGGCCCGGCACACUGGGACUGAGACACUGCCCAGACUCCUACGGGAGGCUGCAGUCGAGAAUCUUCGGCAAUGGGCGCAAGCCUGACCGAGCGACGCCGCGUGGGGGACAAGGCCUUCGGGUUGUAAACCCCUGUCGAGGGGGAAGAAGGGCGGCUCACACCGCCUUGACUGAUCCCUGGAGGAAGCACGGGCUAAGUUCGCGCCAGCAGCCGC
rnacentral:rRNA from 1 species